rnacentral:rRNA from 1 species
GGGGGGGGGGGGGGGGGGGCGGGGGGCGUGCGGGGCGGGCGGGGGGGGGGGGGUCGGGCUGGGGGGGGGUGGGGGGCGGGGGAGUGGUGCACCGGAGCGGGCCCAGUAGGGGGGGGUCGCCCGGCGAACGCCGGCUUGCUCGCCCAUCCGACCUGAGGGUGGAAGCGGGGGACCGAACGGCCUCGCCCUAUUUGCGCUGCCGUUGGCGGAGUAGCUAGUUGGUGGGGUAAAGGCUUACCAAGGCGACGAUCCGGAGCUGGUCUGAGAGGCCGACCCGCCACACUGGGACUGAGACACGGCCCAGACUCCUACGGGAGGCAGCAGUGGGGAAUUUUGGGCAAUGGGGGCAACCCUGAUCGAGCCAUGCCGCGUGCGGGAAGAAGGCCUUCGGGUCGUAAACCGCUUUUGUUCGGGAAGAAAACCUGUGGACUAAUACCCCGGGGGGAUGACGGUACCGGAAGAAUAAGCACCGGCUAACUACGUG